UACCACCCUUUAAUGUUUGAUGUUCUAACGUGGAUCCGUAAUCCGGGUUGCGGACAGUGUCUGGUGGGUAGUUUGACUGGGGCGGUCUCCUCCUAAAGAGUAACGGAGGAGCACGAAGGUUGGCUAAUCCUGGUCGGACAUCAGGAGGUUAGUGCAAUGGCAUAAGCCAGCUUGACUGCGAGCGUGACGGCGCGAGCAGGUGCGAAAGCAGGUCAUAGUGAUCCGGUGGUUCUGAAUGGAAGGGCCAUCGCUCAACGGAUAAAAGGUACUCCGGGGAUAACAGGCUGAUACCGCCCAAGAGUUCAUAUCGACGGCGGUGUUUGGCACCUCGAUGUCGGCUCAUCACAUCCUGGGGCUGAAGUAGGUCCCAAGGGUAUGGCUGUUCGCCAUUUAAAGUGGUACGCGAGCUGGGUUUAGAACGUCGUGAGACAGUUCGGUCCCUAUCUGCCGUGGGCGCUGGAGAACUGAGGGGGGCUGCUCCUAGUACGAGAGGACCGGAGUGGACGCAUCACUGGUGUUCGGGUUGUCAUGCCAAUGGCACUGCCCGGUAGCUAAAUGCGGAAGAGAUAAGUGCUGAAAGCAUCUAAGCACGAAACUUGCCCCGAGAUGAGUUCUCCCUGAGACUUAGAGUCUCCUGAAGGAACGUUGAAGACGACGACGUUGAUAGGCCGGGUGUGUAAGCGCAGCGAUGCGUUGAGCUAACCGGUACUAAUGAACCGUGAGGCUUAACCUU
rnacentral:rRNA from 1 species